CUGGAAAAAUUGACGAACGCGGUGGGAUGGUUGGAAAGGAGUCAAGCCCACUCGUCCCCACCAGAUACCGAGGUGGAAUCCCCCGUAAGGACACAGGCAAGGCGUCCCCCCACCAGGAGGACUCUCUACUUUUUAAGGGGAGAAUCCUCCAGAAGCCGAACUGAAGAGGUCAGAAGUAAGGAACCUGAGGCGAGGAGGACUGCAAACGUGUUCGACAGAUUGGGGACCCAACAAUCACUGACUCCUACGCAAGGACAAGCUGACCUGAAACGUCCGUUGGAACAAGCAGAACCCGAACUAAGCGCACUUAAAAAACGCAUCACCGACCUGGAGGCUAAAAACAAAGGUGACACUGAAGAUUACCAAACCAAACGACAUUCCCCCUUCACUGAGGAUGUCUUUAUGGAACCACUGCCUGAAAAAUUGAAAAUUCCCCAGAUCGCCGCAUACGAAGGGGAUGGUGAUCCCCUCAGCCACCUUAACAAAUACACCUCCUGGAUGGAACUACAGGGGGCAAGCAAUGCAAUCAUGUGCCGAGCAUUCCCCCUGAUUCUAGGAGACAAAGCUCAAAGAUGGUUUAGGAGACUGCACGAGAGGUCGG
rnacentral:lncRNA from 1 species